UCUUGCUCUGUCACCCAGGCUGUAGUCCAGUGGUGUGAUCUCAGGGCUUCUCACCAAGGCCAAGAUGGACCAGAUACUACAUGGCCUAGACAAGGUGACUGAGGAGUGUGCCCAGGGCACCUUCAAACUCAACUCCAAUGAUGAGGACAUCCACACAGCCAGUGAGCGCCGCCUGAAGGUACGACCCAUGGAGCCCCACCGCUUUCCUGGCCUCCCCUCUCCACGUUGCCCGGGGCAUCAUUCUGUUUACUUCGUCAUUGGCAGACAGCAGGUGAGACCUCAGGACAUGGGCCAGGCACGGUGGCUCAUGCCUGUAAUCCUAGCACUUUGGGAGGCUGAGGUGGGAGGAUCACUUGAACCGGGGAGAUGGAGACUACAGUGAGCAGAGAUCACGCCAUUGCACUCCAGCCUAUGUGACAGAGCAAUACUUCAUCUAAAAACAAAGGAAAAAAAACCUGUUUCUUGAAGCUAGU
rnacentral:lncRNA from 1 species